AAAAAACAUUUUGAUGCUCGAGUGAAGAUCUGUGUUUGUGAAAAGAUAUAUACUAUUAAAUAACAAGCUACAUAUAAUAGGAAUGGGUACGUAUAUCCCUCUGAAUUAGUGUUUUUUUUAUUUUUUUUUAUUUUUUGAGUGAAUACUACUUGUGCAAUUGCGGGGUUGUGGGAUAUUUCUAUUUUUAACCUUUUGGUGAACCUCCAUACUGCUUUCCACAGUGGCUGCACCAGUUUGCAUUCCCACCAGCGGUGCAAGAGUGUUCCUUUUUCUCUACAUCCUUGACGACAUGUCAUUUCUUGUGUUUUUGAUUUUAGCCUGACAGGUGUCUCAUGUAAUUUUUAAGUAGUAUCAACCAUAACCAUCAACUGUUAUAAGUUUAUAUAUUUUUUUAGUGUAGUAAAUUCCAUGGAAAAGAUUGUCUUUAUCCCAAUAUUUUUGCCACAACUUUUGGUUCUUGCUUUCAGUAAGCUUGUUUAUUUUCUGAUUGAAUUACUGUGGCCCAAGUGGAUGUUCAUUCUCUUAACAGGCUUAGUUAAUAUGCCCAUCUCUGAAGCCAGGUCAGCUUAUCCAAACAACAUGGAUGACUGUAAGGACUGGAUACAUUCACAAAAGAAAAUUCUGGAGCCAUUGUCAACAGCAUGGGGAAUAGUUGCUGGACAGACCCAAAUUACAUAGCUGUUAAUGUUAUGGACUGAGUGUGUUUCCCCCACAUUCCUAUGUUGAAAUACUACCCCCCAUGUGAUGGUAUUAGGCAUUGAGGUCUUUGGGAGACAAUUACAUUAUCAGGGUAGAUCCCUCCUAAAUUGGGUUAGUGCCCUUCUCCUCUGCCAUGUGAGGACACAAGAAGCCAGCAAUGUGCAACAUAGGACAUGGUGCUCAACAGAUACUGAUCUGCAUGCAUCUCAGUCUUAGACUUGCCAGCCUCCAGAGCUGUGAUAAAUAGGUAGUUGUUUAACCCACCCAGCAUAUGAUAAUUUAUUAUAGCAGCCUGAACUAAGCUGUUUUAUUAUUUGGGGUAUUUUGUAUCUUAGUAAUUCUGUAAGAAAAAGACAUUGCUAAAAAUAGUUUCACAAUUUGGAAAAUAGUGACUCAAAUUAAUAAAAACAAUUAGCCACUAGAAUAGUAACACCCAUUCAUCUUAUCUUCAUUCCAGCUUGUUCCUGGAAGAAGGUGGGAGGAGGGAGAAGAGUCUCCCUUCUAGAAAAGGGAGAGGGCAAGCAGGUCACACUCUGAGCAUGAUUCUUAAUUUUUGUUACAGUAGAAGGAAAUGGGUUGGAAAUUACUCUUCUAUUUAUCUAUCAAUCUUGCCAUACUUGCCUUUUUUUCCAGAAAAAAAUAGUUUUCAUAUAUUUGUACUGUUUAUUGUAAUACUUAAUUUUGACUGCCUUUCUCCUAGUGAUUUCUUUCCAGAUGGGGUUUGUAGUAAAAAUGUAUUGACCUUGUCCUUCCACCACUCAAGUACUGUACAUCACCCAUCAUACUUUUUCUUCAGAGCAAUGUAACACAAUCUGGUGCACAGUGUUCUUUACUUACAUGUAUUUAUUAUCCUUCUCCCUUACCUGAAAUGGGAACCCUUAGAAGGCAGGGUAUGUGUGUGUAUUUUUUUUCUGGCUUACUGAUUUAUUUCUACCAUCCGGAAUGGAACCUCUUACAAAGUAGGCCCUCAAUGCCCAUAUGCUGAUUUACUAACAUGUAGUGUGCAAAAUUGUACAUAUACUUGUAAGUAUUAUCAGAACAUAACAAAUUUGAGUAGUAUCCUUACCUUUCUUGUUUACUAGAUUUCUCUGGUUUUUGUUCAUGUCACACUGUGUUCCUGGAAGUAUACAAAAUAUUAACAGAAAGGUGGUUAAACCGUAUAUUUAUGCUAUCAGUCAAAUUUAUAGAAAGGUGAAAGUGAAUAAAUGCUGAAAUGUAGGUCACUAUCAUUCAUAAAUGAGUGCCAGUUGGCUUAUCCCAGAAACUUAGAAAUAGUUUAUUAAUAAGCCCACUGCAACAAUUUGCCAUUUAUUCACACUAAAGAAGAAAAAUAUCUCAAGGUGGAGCAAAAAGCUGAUAAAAUUCAUCACCCAGUACAGUCAUGAUUAGCUGUUAACUAACUAGAAAUAGAAAUAGUUUCUUGAUAAAGUGAUUUCCUAAAAAAAUAAACAUCCAACUGGCGGCGUGUUAGGUCUGCUGCCUCUUAAUAAAGAAAAGGAAACAAUGGCCAUAAUCACCAUUCUGGUCAACUUUGCUCUGGAUGUUCUGGAGCAUUAAGGCAAAAGAGAGAAAAAAGGUCAACGGAUUGGAAAGUGAGAAAGAAAUGUAUUAAUAUUUGUAAAUAACAUGAUUAUCUUGGUAGAAAUGUCAAGAAUCUGUACAUUUUCAAAUUUGAGAACUCAAGAAUAUAUGCUGUAUAAUCAACAUACCAGUACAUUUUUACUUCAACACAAAAGCAACGAAUUGUUACUAAUUUUAAAUGCUGUCUUUUAUAAAAUAGAAUUAUGCCAAGUGGAGGGUAUGUGUGUUCUCUUGAUCUUUCUUACAGGAUCUGUAAUUACUAUUUUAUUUACAGUGAGUGAAUUUGAUUUUUUAGUGUAUUUAUAUUUCCAUUCAAAUGACUGUCAUUCUUAGCUCAAAAAUAACCAGAGAAAGAUAAUUAGAAAAAUAUAAAAGCAGUAAUUAAAAACAGAACAUAACUUUUUGAUCAGGAAGUGUUCAGUAUUACCCUUUUCCUGGUAAACUGUUAAGCAAGAACAAUUUUUGAUAUCUAGGUAGUAGAUGUUUCUGUUUCAGGUUUCUGCAUGCUUUCUUAACACAUUACCAUGUGAACAUUCAUUGUCAGGUAGCUGUUUUGUCCCUUAAGGGAAUUGGUCAUGUGCCAAUUUAUUAAUCUUUGACAGUAUUAGGAAUUUGAAUGUACACACUACUUACAUUUUGGAAAAAGCCUUGUGAUACCAUUUUUUUCAAAAAUUUUUGUAAGAAAAAUUUUAAUUGACUUAUAAAACAUCUUAGUAUACCAUAAGGUAAAUCACUGGAUUAAUUAGUUUUUAGAAAUCAAGUUAGGUAGUAGCUUCACUUUUUUAGUUGAAACUUUAUACCUUGAAUCAUUCUAGCACUUCAUAGGCUUUUUCAAUUUGUAGGAAUGUGAAUGCCAUACAGAAAAUAUUUAAGGUAGGUCUUGUUUAUAGUAUUUCCAGAUGCUCAUUGUAAUGUUGCUAAUAUUGAGAUUAAAUAUGACUCUUGAUGUAAAAAAUGUUUUUAAAUAAUGUGUAGAUUUGAGGUUUGUAGAUGAACAUUACCAAUUUCUACUAUGAGACAGUACUUUUCAACAUCUAUGAGAUUGAACAAUUUAUAGUCACACUGAGGCAUGAAUUUAAGUUACUGCAAAUCACUGUAAUGAUGAAGAAUGUGUUCUUAGUAUUUAAGCAUAACCAUGAUGCAUCUUGCACAAGAACUCAUGUGAAGUAAUAGAAAUUCAUUUAUGUAUAGAAAAAAUAUUCAUGUCCAUCAAAUAAAAUCAAUUUCUUUUGGACAUUUACACAUCUUAAGGUGAUGGUUUUGGAAUAAAUUACAGUUAUAAUAGAAUGUCUGAUUGAUUUGGGUCCAUGAAAAUAACAAAAUCUGGAAACUAGAAACACCAUUCAUUAAUGAAUCUGUUGUAAUGAAUUCUCUAGUCAGUACAAUAAUACAAGUGAAAGAAAGAUCUUUACUGAAACUUUUAAAAAAAAUUAUGCUUUGAACAUACACUCAGAAAACAUAGAAGUUCUACAUGGAAUUAUGAUUAAGGAGAACUUUAUUUUGAUGGUAAUAGGAAAAUAAUUUUAGUUUGUGUUUAAAGAAUUUUUCUUUUCCUUUUCUGGGCUCAUUCUACAGAAUUAGGAUCCUACUAAAUGGCCUGUGUGUGUUAAUAGAAUUGUUAGAUUUAUGGCCAUCAAUUAAAUGUGUUAGUUUUUUGAUUAGUUCUAAUCUAUUUUAUUAGGAAAUUUUGUCUUGGGAUGCUGAAUUUUAAAAAUUAGGGUCUUUGGACAUAAUCUUUACACAUACCAAAGUCAUUACUGUCAAAGAUAAGCAAAGCCAGAUGUUAGUGAAAGUCAUGAAGCCAGAUUUAUUCAGUAACUCAUGAUAGCAGGGGAAACAGCUGAGCUCCAUUCUGAUUUGUGAAGAGGUGACAAUGAAAGAGUAGGGAGGAGCAGAGUGAGUUUCAAGUAAAAAGUUACAAAGGGAUGUCAACAUAAACGUGAUAAGGCCAGAUGUGUCUGCUAGCUGGCUCUUGCUGAAGUUGGGAUGCUGUUCUCUCACAGAGUCAGGGAGACCAAGGUUCUAUCCUUCCUGAUGAUUACAUAAAGGAAGGAACUUGAGAAAUACACUCUUGACUUGUAGGAGAUAAACAUACAUCCCAAAUAUACAGAGAAAGGAUUUAUUUUUGUAAGCCCUUUUUAGUAAAUGUUCUUAAGGAAACUCAAGGGGCCUAUCCUCUUGUAUUGGUUAAAACAAACAGUAAAUUGGACUGGCCAUGUUGUUUUCUUAAGCAUUUUAAUAGGGGACUGGUGUCAUUCUAGGGACCUGGUCUUAUUGUUGCUAGAAGGCAUGCCAGGGUUUUGUCAUCUCAGUACAGAGUUGUGGGCAGAGUCUUUAUGUGCAGUUCUUGUUACUUUAUAUUACAUAAAAUUGAAGUGAAAAAAUAUUUCAAAUUUUCCAAUAGAAAAUAGAGAAUUUGCAAAUUUUCCAAUGGAAAAUAGAAUUAAUUUAAUUUAGCUCUCAAGUUACUUUAUAACCUAAAGGAAUGAAGGAAAUAAGUUUUCCUGAAUUGAAACUUCAUUUUUUUUCAAAUGAGGCAAUGCUAAGGGUUACAGAUGUAUCCCCCCCCCUUUUUUUGAGAGAAAGUGAAUUCACAUGUUUUUAAACUUAAACCAUGUACAAUUUUACCAGGCACACAGCGGAAAGUAGACCCCAGUCUCCUCCCCUAACAGGAGCAUCUGUCCUUCACAGGUGUGUGAUUAGAUUUCAUAACUAGGUUUUCCUUUCUGUGCCCUCAAGCCUGCUUCGUAUUCACAAUGGUAUAUUCAUGAUGUAGGUGUGUCACAUUUAUCAUGUUUGCCUUACUCUGUUCCACCUGGGUUUGGGUAGGUGUUUGUCUUUUUAUUAAAGGGUUUUCCCAGCUAUGUUGUCAGACCGCUAGACUGGCUUUUGUAUUGCAAUGAAACAUGAUUGCCAGCAUUUGAGUAAUCAACAGGGUUGGCCUACUUUGCAUACUAAAAUAAUUUAUAUCAUUAGGUCAUAGGGAGACAUUAUUAUGGAAACAGCAAAAUUGUGAGAGUAAUUUAGUGUUUGCUGUCUUUGCUGUUCAAGGAAAAUGUACCCUAGAGUGAUAGCUAAUUUUAUGUGACCAGUCGGAUGUAAAGGGAACAGACCUCAUCCUGAUCAGUGAAGGUGGCUCUUGACCUUGACUUCUGGAAUUCUGGAGUCUCACACCUGAGUGUUUGCAAAGACACUCUACAUCUUUGAAGUUUAAUGAGCCACAUUAUUUGGAAAACACCACUGCAUUUCUCUUGAAUGAACUUGAUCAUGGUAUCUAUAGUGUUAGUUCUCUUAACUUAAGAUAACUCCAUUAAUUUUGAUUGUUUAUUUUAUGUUCUACUUGUGCCCGUGUCUAGUUGAGUGCCCUGCUAAGUGAAGGGCAUUCAUAGAGGGUAGGAAGAAGACUAACACUUUGUUUUUAAGUGCAGUUUUAUUAAAGCAGAGACAGGACCCGUGGGCUGAAAGAGCCACCAGAAGACUAACAUUUUGGAGCACUGGGUGCACUAGGUACUUUGUAUACACUUCAUUGAAAUUUCAGAAUAGUCCUAUGAUGGGUUAAUACCUCAACUAUAUAUUGGUGAGGAAUCUCUAAUCCAGAAACUUUAGUAACUCUUCACACCGUAAGCUCGUAAGUAGUUGAAUUGGGUUUGGACCUAAAAUGUACCACAAUGUGUAGCUGCUCAGUGAGGCUUGAGUAGAAGAGCUUCUUUAAAAAAUUACUCUAAAAUGGAAGCCGUGUUAUAUUAUUAACAUUUAGCAGACUUCUGAUUUAUCCUAAAAAUAAAACUUAAUUUCUCUUUAGAUUGUUAUAUGAUCCAUUCUUUUCUUCUUGGCUGUUGAGCGUGGGAUGCUGCUGGGUAUGGAGUUUGGCAGGAUCUUUCCUUGAUGAUUGAGUGUGGAACUUAGAGGAACAAAAGGAAUCCUGGCCUUGAUGGACUUGUAAUCCCAGAACCAGUCUUUGUCAUCAGUUUUUAUAGAGGAGUGAACAGCAAGAAAUGGAUCUGAAGCAAAUUGUCUGUUCCCAUGGAGUGGCAAGACUGGGUGUGCAGCGUGGGAGGAGUCUUGGAGAACAGAGCCCAAAGAUGGCCCCUGAGAACAAGUCCUUUCAAGGAGAGGAGCCUUUUAUGUUGAAGUACCCAUAACCAAGCCCCGAUAUUGAGGAGGAAGAUAGUAGAGUUGCCUGACCAUCUCCGGUAUCCCUGAACUUUGUCAGUCUCUCACUCUUGGCCACAGUGAAGCUGAGGGCUCCACAGGAAUUGUUCUGGUUCAUUCCAGAGGUGGGAGGCUGAGGCCCUUCUCUGCUCUUGUAGCAAAUGCCUAUUUCAGUGCAUUUGGAUCUGACACUUGUUGUGGCAUCAUCAAGACCCAGAUAGAUUGUUUCCUGGUCUAUACUACCUUGAUGUGUGCAGGUGAGGCUGUAUUGGGGGGUGACGGGGAAGUUUUGACUUUUCAAAGAACUAGAGUAAAUGUUUAAAUUGUAAAAAGCAACCCCGUUAAAGAGACAAAACCUCUGUGACAUAUUUGGUUCCAGGAAGAAUAGUUCUUAGGUAGUUGAUUAGUUUCACUGACAGAAUUGGCUUGGUGGGAUACAUUCCAGAGAGUACUAGGGAGCCAUAACACUGUUUUUCUAAUAUUGCUCACCUUAAUUAUCUGCUUAUCUUAAUUAUCUUUGCUUCUAGGGAUCAUUGUGUAGCUUACUUUGUUUUGGGUUGGGCUCCUAAUUGUAUAUUACAAAGAACAUUGUAAACAGUGUUUUUCAUGCUUUUUUUUUUUUUUUUUUUGCUUCUAUGGUUCUUGGUGGGGUGGGGCAAUAAUUGGUGGUGGUGUAGGAACCUAUCAGAAUGACCUGGGGAAAUUUCAAACUGCAAAAAUCUCUACUCUUUAGGUCAGAUGCUAUAUUCUUUAGUUAAGACUGCCCCCCACCCCUUAAAAAAAAAAAAAAGGAAAACAAAAGGAAAGGAAAACCAAGUGUUUAAACUCACAUAAUUUUCAAAAUUGUACAAGUUUUACAGUGUUAAGAUAGAUCAGACUACUCUUCAAUCUGGUCAUGUUUGCCUUUAGUACUCUUUAUCUUCACCAUUAAGAGAAUGUAUAAAUAUACCUUAUAUUCAUAACACUUGAGUAGAAAAACAAAAAAGAAAAAAAUCUCAUGAAAACAGUUUAGCAAAAUAAAACAGGAUAUAAGAAGUGAAUGCAAAAUUAGGUUUUUUUUGUUACCUAGAAUAGGGGAGAGGAAUACUUUCAAUAGAUCUUUGCUUUUUCUGAUAGAUUUUUGUUAGGUUUGUGUCGACAGAAAUUUCAGCUCCAUGAUGUACUGCCAUGUUAAAAGUCUUGUAAUCAAAUUGAGAAAAGGGUUAAAAGGCAAAGGGAUGUGGACAGACAUGGUAAGGGACUUGAGACUGAAAAAUAAGUACUACAAAAAAUGUGUGUGGAUAUAUAACAUGUCCUUGAGGGGAAGAGUAGGAAUGGUCUGUAAAGGGAAGCCCUCCAAGGAGCCCUCUGUAAGGUCUUCUACUUCAACAGAGUAGGCACCAUAUUGUAGAAGGAGCGAAGAUAAAAGUGCCCUGGCUUACUCACUUGUAGAAGGCUUCGACAGUGUGUAUAUCAGGAUAGUGGUGGUGUAUGUGGGAAUAAAGGCCCAUGUUCAUAGUCCUUUCUGCUUACAACAUAGCUUUAAAGGCCUAACUUAGGUUUCCGCAAAGGCCAACAAAAGAAUCCUCAUGUGAUUUCAAGUCCUCUUUGUUCCCUUCUGUCAUUCUGGCUCUCUUUCUUCUUGCUUGUGAAAAUUUUUGUCAUAGGUCAACAGGUAUUUAAUUCUAUCAUUAAGGCUUAAACUUUCUGCUCCUGGUCAGUUUUUUUGUUUUUUUGUUUUCCAUUGAGUGUUUUAGUUUUAAUGAAAUCAACCAAUUAGCCACAACAUGUAAAAAGUCAAAUUCACUCCUAUUUGACUCCUAUUGUGAAGACAGUGCAGAGUGAAUUGUCCCUGUUCAUACAUAAGAGGAUAAGCAUGGAGGACAUGUGCCUUGAGAUACUUUUGUCCUAGCUCUGCAAAAGCAAUGCUACUUUACUGAUUUCUGAAGAUUUUUUAAAACAAGAUUUAUAUUUAACCCCUUUUACAUUUAUGGUAUUAAUGCUAGAGUGUUUAUUCAGUUCCUUCCUAAGCUUAUAUGAGCAGCAAUUUAAAUAUAGUGGAAUUCUUAUCUUAAAGUUUAUAUCUUUUAAUUAACAGGCAGCUCUGUGGUUGAGAACAUUAAGUAUAUCACAAAUUACAAAUACAGAGUUGUUUAUUGAAGUAAAUUUACAUUAGAAGUAAAACAACUUAUUCUAUAUUGUGCUAUAUAAAAUACUCUGCAAGUUUUUAGUAAGUAUUUCAUGAAAAAGUGCCAUAGUUAACUAACUUUAGAGGAAUAUUAAAUUUCCUUAACUAUAAGAUCAAAACAGAAAACUCUAUUUUCAUAUUCUAGCAACAAACAAUUAGAAACUAAAGUUAAAAAAGUAAUGAAACAGUAGCAUGCUAAGAUAUGAAAAAUUUAGAAAUAGAAAAAUGUUGGGGCGGUUGGGUUGCUUGGUUAAGUGUCCAACUCUUCAUCUCAACUCAGAUGUUGAUCUCAAGGUCAUGAGUUCAAGCCCCACGUUGGACUCCACACUGGGCAUGGAGCCUACUUAAUAAAUAAAUAAAUAAAUAGGAAAAUGUUGAAGAUUUCUAUACUUAAAGUUACAAAAUAUUCAGAGAAAUUCAUGCCUAAAUAAGUGGAGAUAUAUAUUAUGUUCAUGGUUUGUCAAGAUAAUGAUUUGAUACCAAAUUCAGUGCAUUUCCACUCAAAAUACCAAGAGUAUUGAAAAUAACAGCCUGAUUCUCAAAUUUAUACAGAAAUGCAAACAGCUUGGAAUAGCUGUAAUUAUUUUUUUUAUGAGAACAAAGUGGGAUGACUCACUCUAACUGAUGUAAAGACUUGUGAGUCUACAGAAGAAGCAAAACUGUGUGGAAUUGGUGUAAGAAAUAGGAACUGGACAGAACAGUCUAGAAAUCUAUAGAUUGCAAUCUAUAGAUUGCCUCAUAUUUAAUAAAUUGUGUUUUUACAAAGGCGUCAAGGUGAUUUGAUAGGGAAAGGAAAAUCUUUUCAGCAACUAUUUCUAAAAUAGUUGUAAAGAGUUAUCAGAGAACAUUGAACUUCAACCUCUAUCUUUAGCUUGGUACAAAAGGAAAAUCAAGAUGACCAGAAACCUAAAUAUAAAGUUUAAAACUGAAUCUAUAGAUAUACACACAAAAUAAUACAUAGUUUAACCUCAAAAACAACAUGUGGAGCUUAUGAAAGAGUACAUUUAUGGGGAUGGUGGAUAGACAGUUGUAUUUGUCAGAGCUUAUUAAACUUUACACUUAACAUCUGUGCAUUUUGGAUUGCCUGAAUUAUGUCUCAACAGUAGACUCCUUAAGCAAUAAUUUAUCAAAUUGUGCAUGUUGUCUUUGCCUCUCUAAGCAGGCAUGUUACUACCAUUGUUCCUAAAAUUUGAGUUGCAUCAAUUCUAUUAUAUUAAUGAAGGUUUUCCAGAGAAACAGAAAAUAUAUGGGGAGAGAGAGAGAUUGUCACUUGAUUGCAGGAUUUCAGCAAGUCUGAAAUCUGUAGGGGAGGCUGGCAACCUGGAAAAUUAGGCAAGAUUUCUUUGUCUCAGUUUUGAGGCAGAACUUUGAUCCUCUGUGAAAUCUCAGUCAUGGCUCUUAAAGCUUUGGUUGAGUUGAAGAGUCCCACCCUCAUUAUGGAGGAUAAUCUGCUUUGCUUAAUGUCAACUGAUUGUAAAUGUUAAGCCUAUCUAACAAAA